rnacentral:rRNA from 1 species
UACGUAGGGUGCAAGCGUUAAUCGGAAUUACUGGGCGUAAAGCGUGCGCAGGCGGUGAUGUAAGUCAGGUGUGAAAUCCCCGGGCUUAACCUGGGAACUGCCUUUGUGACUGCAUUGCUGGAGUGCGGCAGAGGGGGAUGGAAUUCCGCGUGUAGCAGUGAAAUGCGUAGAUAUGCGGAGGAACACCGAUGGCGAAGGCAAUCCCCUGGGCCUGCACUGACGCUCAUGCACGAAAGCGUGGGGAGCAAACAGG